rnacentral:rRNA from 1 species
GACGAACGCUGGCGGCGUGCUUAACACAUGCAAGUCGAACGGAAAGGCCUUGCUUUUGUGGGGUGCUCGAGUGGCGAACGGGUGAGUAACACGUGAGUAACCUGCCCUUGACUUUGGGAUAACUUCAGGAAACUGGGGCUAAUACCGGAUAGGAGCUCCUGCUGCAUGGUGGGGGUUGGAAAGUUUCGGCGGUUGGGGAUGGACUCGCGGCUUAUCAGCUUGUUGGUGGGGUAGUGGCUUACCAAGGCUUUGACGGGUAGCCGGCCUGAGAGGGUGACCGGCCACAUUGGGACUGAGAUACGGCCCAGACUCCUACGGGGGGCAGCAGUGGGGAAUAUUGCACAAUGGGCGGAAGCCUGAUGCAGCAACGCCGCGUGCGGGAUGACGGCCUUCGGGUUGUAAACCGCUUUCGCCUGUGACGAAGCGUGAGUGACGGUAAUGGGUAAAGAAGCACCGGCUAACUACGUG